rnacentral:rRNA from 1 species
AUGCAAGAUUAUUUUUCGGAGAAUCUUACAUAUCCUGCACACCUCUUCUGCAGAAGGUACCGAAUGCGCCGAUCCCUUUUUGUGAAAAUUGUUGAAGCUUGCGAGGCAAAUUGCCGGUAUUUCACUCAGAGAAGGAAUGCCGCGGGCUUAAAGGGAUUUAGUGCAUAUCAAAAAAUCUCCGCAGCUAUGCGGGUGAUUGCAUAUGGCGUUCCGGCUGACUAUGCCGAUGAGUAUCUUCGCAUUGGUGAAGAUAGCACAAUUGAGGUUGGACAGUGA